GAAAUGCGAUAAGUAAUGUGAAUUGCAGAAUUCAGUGAAUCAUCGAAUCUUUGAACGCACAUUGCGCCCUUUGGUAUCCCGAAGGGCAUGCCUGUUCGAGCGUCAUUAUCAGCCCCUCAAGCCCGGCUUGUCGUUGGGCCAGGCCAUCUCUCUCGGGGCGGCCGGCCCAAAAGAUAGUGGCAGAGUCGCGCGGACCCUGGAUGCAGCGAGCUUCUUUCCGAGCACGCAUCCCGGCGGUCCUCCGGCCCCGUCUCAACCGUUAAAACUUUCAAUGGUUGACCUCGGAUCAGGUAGGGAUACCCGCUGAACUUAA
rnacentral:misc_RNA from 1 species